rnacentral:tRNA from 1 species
UCGGUGGUGGCGGGCGUGGUCGAGUGCGUCGUUCAGGACGACGCCGAAGCGUCGUUCGGCGCCCUGCCGCCCUUCC